UCCUCCCCUGCAGUGACCUCUGAAGGUUUCAUGCUGACUGAAGUCAAGCAAUGAUCACGCCACAUCCAACCAGUGCUGCACCGUGGGAGUGUAAAACAUACUGGUGACCAGCGCUCCCAGCACAGGGCGGUGCCCUAGGCGCCUGUCUAAAUGGCCUAUAUCUUUAGCCGGCCCUGGUUGGUUUCAUCCAACACUGCCAUUGGUGGGACGCAUCGGGCUCAGGGGUCGAUGCCGGUGACUAUCAAUGCUGACCAAGGAACAGAGCUGUGCAACAAGAACGAGGGCGGAACAUCGUUUUCAGACCUCUUUUCCUCUUUAGACCCACCGGUUAUCUUUCAGCCUCACUUACAGGUACGUGUGUGUGUGUGUGUGUGUGUGGAGGGGUGGAGAUGGUUGAGUUUGGUGCACAGACGGUGUGGUUCCAUUUCUACGGCCCAUUGUCCUCCAUCAGGCGCAACGGGAUGUUAUCAGCCUCAGCCAGGCUCAACCCCCAACAAUGCUUCAUUACCUGUGUGUGUGUGUGUGUGUGUGUGUGUGUGUGUGUAUUCUCAUCCUGCAAACAAUGCUUCAUUACAUGUCUCUCCCAGGGCUCCCUUAACAUUUCUUCCUGUCUCAUUAUCCAGUGAGAGUCGUGUUAUCUGUUCCUGUCAUAUUUACCGAGCAGACCUUUGCCUUCUUGGAAGCACACAUGGGCAUAUGUGCAUACACACAGCUGUCAUUUGUUAGCAGCCUAAUCCUGAUAUCAGUGCUUGUAAUGAGUAAUUACUUCGUGUUGAAUCACAUGUACAUACUAUAGAUGUAAUAUUUAGUCAG